CUAACACAUGCAAGUCGAACGCGAAAGGGGCUUCGGCCCUGAGUAGAGUGGCAAACGGGUGAGUAACACGUGGGUGACCUGCCUUCGAGCGGGGGAUAACGUUCCGAAAGGAGCGCUAAUACCGCAUAACAUCCUGCCUUUGGAAAGGUGGAGAUCAAAGCCGGGGAUCGCAAGACCUGGCACUUGAAGAGGGGCCCGCGCCUGAUUAGCUAGUUGGUGAGGUAAUGGCUCACCAAGGCUACGAUCAGUAUCCGGCCUGAGAGGGCGGACGGACACACUGGGACUGAGACACGGCCCAGACUCCUACGGGAGGCAGCAGUGGGGAAUUGUUCGCAAUGGGCGCAAGCCUGACGACGCAACGCCGCGUGGAGGACGAAGAUCUUCGGGUCGUAAACUCCUGUCGAGCGGGACGAAUGUUCCGCGAGCUAAUAUCUCGCGGAAGUGACGGUACCGCUAAAGGAAGCCCCGGCUAACUCCGUGCCAGCAGCCGCGGUAAUACGGGGGGGCAAGCGUUGUUCGGAAUUACUGGGCGUAAAGGGCUCGUAGGCGGCCAACUAAGUCGGAUGUGAAAUCCCCAGGCUCAACUUGGGAACUGCAUCCGAUACUGGAUGGCUUGAAUUCGGGAGAGGGAUGCAGAAUUCCAGGUGUAGCGGUGAAAUGCGUAGAUAUCUGGAGGAAUCCGGUGGCGAAGGCGGCAUCCUGGACCGACAUUGACGCUGAGGAGCGAAAGCCAGGGGA
rnacentral:rRNA from 1 species